rnacentral:rRNA from 1 species
UGCCAGCAGCCGCGGUAACACGGAGGGUGCGAGCGUUAAUCGGAAUUACUGGGCGUAAAGCGCACGCAGGCGGUUUGUUAAGCUAGAUGUGAAAGCCCCGGGCUCAACCUGGGAUGGUCAUUUAGAACUGGCAGACUAGAGUCUUGGAGAGGGGAGUGGAAUUCCAGGUGUAGCGGUGAAAUGCGUAGAGAUCGGAAGGAAUACCAGUGGCGAAGGCGGCUUCCUGGGCUCAUACUGACACUGAGGCGCGAAGGCGUGGGUAGCAAACAGGAUUAGAUA